CUUCAAUAUAAUAUAAUAUAAUAUUAUUGCUCAAUUUGCUUCGUUUGGCCCUUGAAGCUACUGGUCAGGAGGAGGACUGCAUCUUUCACUUUCUUUCCUUUCUUGUGAACCAAAAUACAAAAACAUAGAUCCACAGCUCAUAUGCAUAUAGUUUUAUACAAUUAUUGUUGGCAAAUAAUUUUGUUCAACAGCUUUUGCUUUGCUACCACACAGAGAACCUAAAGCUAACAUCUCCUAUUGACUAAACAAGUAAAAUCAUUAUCAACAUCCCUAGUGAUUAUGAUUUCAUUCAUCUUUGCAUACAAAUACAGAUUGAACAAUGGCAGAAAGGAACGUUUAUUGGGGGUUAUUUAGUGAUAUAUGUCUUUGAAUCUUCAUGUCAAAUCAAGGGAGGUUACCGCAGUUUUCAUCAACUGGAAGGUACAAUGGAGAGUUCUAAUCUGCCUGUCCAUUCCUCUCCUGGCUUCAAUGUGAUUGACUUCUCUAUUGCUGCCCCAUCAACACACAGCAUCUGCUUGUACUCUUCAUCUCCGAAAUCUACCAUGGACUUUGAUUUCUUCUCCCAUGGAUUCCAGACCACUACUUACAAGCACUGCUUCAGUGCAGAUUUCAAAGGUUGAAGAGAAAAAUAAAGGAAAGGGGAAAGAAAAAGCUUACCAACAUCAGGAAGUCCUUCUUUUCUUAUCAUGAACGUGCGCUUUCUCUCGUGAUCAAAAACAGCAACAACAUCUGAAGAACUGAGGUAAACUCUGUCCACCUGCAAGUUACAAUUCUAUGUCUAUGCUUUGUCUUUCCAUUUGUUAAUUCAUAAUCCAGUCUCAGAAUUCAGGGACAGGAAAAUUCCAGGAAGGUAAAUCAGUUUCGAAACAGAAAAUCUAUCUAUUACCUCAGAUUCAAACGUCAAGGUAUCUCCUUGUUCUGUGAAGCGUUCCUUUUGGCACAGGUUGUCAAGAUAAUCAAGAGUUUCCAACCCUUCAACCCUUACUUCACUGUAAGCAAAGCUCCAAUCAGAUUGAAAAGCUACACAAUUAUUUAACUCUAAUAAAACUGUUAGGUACUAAAUUCCACAGAAGAUUGCUUGUAAGGAAGGCUAAUUCUAUUAUUAACAUAAGAGAAAAAUAAUUCAUACCUAAUGUCUGAGAUUGCGAAAUACGUGUGGUAAGCGAUGGAGAAACUAAAUGGCUUGCUGUUAAUAUUCCUGAUGCGCGAUAGCAAGGUUAGGUUUCCAUCUGCUGACAAAGACACCCUGAGACGAAACUCGAAACUGUGUGGCCAGAUCUUUAGAUCUUCUUCAGACGGCCUGAGUAUCAAGUCAACAUAGGCUUUACCACUGGAAUCAUUGGGAUGCAAUGGUGGUGGAUUAUAAUCAAUCGCCCAAAGUUUCUUCCUAGCAAACCCAUGUUGCUCCAACGCUCCCCGAUUUCCGAACUGGGGAAAGCAAAUGGGAAUUCCUCCUCGCACUGGGUUUGGUGGCUUGAAAAUUGCCUUACUACUAGUGAAUAGCAAUUCUUCUCCCUGAUCAGUCCUCCAUGAGAGAACCUGUCCUCCAAACAAGCUAACCCGAGCUGAAGCUCCUCGAGGGUUGCGAAGCACAAUUUGAUCAAUUCCGUUUCUGUCUUUGGUAACUUCAACUGCUGCCACUUUCUGAUCACAUACUGCCCCAGAAGGAUUCAUAGUGAAAACAGAGCCAAGUAUACACAAGAACAAGAAAAAGCAACAACACAGUAAAUCUCUCUUUCUCACUGCUCUAAAUCUAAUAUCCAAGACAGUGCUUUGAGAUUCUUCUGAGCCGAGAAAACAAAUUAAGAAAGAAAAAGAAAACCCCUGAGCAAGCAAAAAAAGGCCCAGCAGUUACUGAAGCAGUUGAGAAAUCUCAACUUUCCCUAAGCACCUUUCUUGUGACAAACCUGAUUUUCCCGUGAAUACAAAACCAGAACUCAACAACUAAUUUUGAACUACCUUUUCUCUCUCUGCUAGAAAUCGAUAACCCUUAGCUUGGAAAACAGAGACAGACCAACAAAAACACAGAAUCGGUAUCUCUCAAGGGAAUUUUCAAUAAGAAAAAUAAUUACCCAGAUGACCAAAACUGUCUAGAAUUCAAAAAGAACCAACCAAAAAAUUUUUUAAAAAAAAAGAGAAAAAGAUAAUAAAGUUCCAAAUUGAAACGUUCUAAGCCAGUUUCAAAGAAAAAAGCAUUUAUGAUGGGAACAGUUAGUGGGCGAUAGUCAACAUUGGAUCACAAGUUUUCCGAGAAAGAAAAGAGAAAAGAAGAAAGAUAUAUAUUUACACAGGAUUUGGUCCAACCAUGUCUUAUUAAUAAACAAAUACAGAAGGGCCACACCAAAGAAAUAAUCUUCAGAUACAUCAUCACAAGGAAGGU
rnacentral:misc_RNA from 1 species